rnacentral:rRNA from 1 species
CCUACGGGAGGCAGCAGUAGGGAAUCUUUCACAAUGGGCGAAAGCCUGAUGGAGCAACGCCGCGUGCAGGAUGAAGGCCUUCGGGUUGUAAACUGCUUUUAUAAGCGAGAAAUAUGAUGGUAACUUAUGAAUAAGGAUCGGCUAACUACGUGCCAGCAGCCGCGGUCAUACGUAGGAUCCGAGCAUUAUCCGGAGUGACUGGGUGUAAAGAGUUGCGUAGGUGGCAUAAUAAGUAGCUAGUGAAAUCUGGGGGCUCAACCAUUCAGACUAUUAGCUAAACUGUUAAGCUCGAGACCGUUAGGAGUAACGGGAAUUUCUAGUUGAGGAGGGAAAUCCGUAGAUAAUAGAAAGGACACCAAUAGCGUAGGGAGGUUACUGGGACUGUUCUGACACUAGGGCACGAAAGCGUAGGGAGCAAACGGGAUUAGAUACCCCUAGUAGUC